CGGGUGCGUAACACGUGAGCAACCUGCCGAUCUGAGGGGGAUAGCCGGCCCAACGGCCGGGUAAUACUGCAUACGUUCUCGAGGGGGAGUCCCCUUGGGAAGAAACCUCCGGGGCAGAUCGAGGGGCUCGCGGCCUAUCAGCUAGUUGGUGAGGUAACGGCUCACCAAGGCAUCGACGGGUAGCUGGUCUGAGAGGAUGGCCAGCCACACUGGGACUGAGACACGGCCCAG
rnacentral:rRNA from 1 species